UACGGAGGGUGCAAGCGUUAAUCGGAAUUACUGGGCGUAAAGCGUGCGUAGGCGGUUCGUUAAGUCUGUUGUGAAAGCCCGGGGCUUAACCCCGGGUCGGCAGUGGAUACGGGCAGGCUAGAGGUAGGUAGGGGAGAAUGGAAUUCCCGGUGUAGCGGUGAAAUGCGCAGAUAUCGGGAGGAACACCGGUGGCGAAGGCGGCAUCCUGGACCGACAUUGACGCUGAGGCGCGAAAGCCAGGGGAGCAAACGGG
rnacentral:rRNA from 1 species